UACGAAGGGGGGCUAGCGUUGCUCGGAAUCACUGGGCGUAAAGCGCACGUAGGCGGCUUGUUAAGUCAGGGGUGAAAUCCUGGAGCUCAACUCCAGAACUGCCUUUGAUACUGAAGAUCUUGAGUUCGGGAGAGGUGAGUGGAACUGCGAGUGUAGAGGUGAAAUUCGUAGAUAUUCGCAAGAACACCAGUGGCGAAGGCGGCCAGCUAGACCAGUUCUGACACUGAGGCGCGACAGCGUGGGGAGCAAACAGG
rnacentral:rRNA from 1 species